ACUGGUCAAGCCUAUAAUUGACAAGACAUUUGCUUUUGACGCACAUUUGUGUUUAAAAUACUUGUGUAUGAUUGUUUAUAUUUCAUUUAAAAAACGUGAACAUGUAUGUUUCCCGCUUGUAUGCAGUCUACCUUUAAACACCAUUUCGUGGCGAUAGUAAGUUGAAACAUACACGUUCCCACAUUUUUACUUCCGGGUCCAAAUUGAUUCUGCUGGCGCUGUCGUUUCCUGCUCGUCUGGCCAGUUGCUGUGCGACGUCAGCCCACAAAGUUUUGGACCCAGCCAAGACUACGCCGCAGCGUUUGUCUGCCGAACAUCUCGACAUGACUCCGAAGUGGACUGUCGGCCGAGCCCGCGGCGGGGCGACGAGGACGCGGUGGCUGCUCGUGCUGGUGAGCGUGUCCGUGUGCGUGUGCGUGUGCCGAGCAUCAUCACAGACUCAGCAUCAGCAGCAGCAUCAGCAGCAGCUGGAGGAGGAGGAGGACAGUGCCAAUGAGAACAUCGUCACGGAGAAGAAGGCCGAGGAGAGCCACCGGCAGGACAGCGCGGACUUGCUCAUCUUCAUCAUGCUCCUCACCCUCACUAUCCUCACCAUCUGGUUGUUCAAACACCGCCGCUUCCGCUUCCUGCACGAAACUGGGCUGGCGAUGAUCUAUGGUUUACUGGUGGGCGUGGUCUUGCGCUACGGCAUCCACGUCCCGCGGGACAUCAGCAACGCGACGCUGAGCUGCCACGUCAACGCCAGCCCCGCCACGCUGCUCAUCAACUCCAAGGGGAAGUUCUACGAGUACACGCUGAAGGGCGAGAUCGGCGCCAGCGAGGUCAACGACGUGCAGGACAACGAGAUGCUGCGCAAGGUGACCUUCGACCCUGAAGUGUUCUUUAACAUCCUGCUCCCGCCCAUCAUCUUCCACGCUGGAUACAGCUUAAAGAGGAGACACUUUUUCCGCAACAUGGGCUCCAUCCUGGCGUACGCCUUCUUGGGGACGCUCAUUUCCUGUCUUGUCAUCGGCUUGUUAAUGUACGGCUGCGUGACGCUGAUGAAGAAGAUGGGACAACUCGGCGGGGACUUCUUCUUCACCGACUGUCUGUUCUUCGGCGCCAUCGUCUCCGCCACAGACCCCGUGACGGUGCUGGCCAUCUUCAACGAGCUGCAGGUGGACGUGGACUUGUACGCGCUGUUGUUUGGCGAGAGCGUGCUCAACGACGCCGUGGCUUUGGUUCUCUCCUCGUCCAUCGUGGCGUACCAGCCACAAGGCGACAACAGCCACACUUUCGAGGUCAUGGCCUUGCUCAAGUCCUUUGGGAUGUUCCUCGGCAUUUUCAGCGGCUCCUUCGCUCUGGGCGUGGCCACCGGAUUCGUCACGGCGCUCGUGACAAAGUUCACCAAGCUAAGAGAUUUCCAGCUGCUGGAGACGGCCUUGUUCUUCCUCAUGUCAUGGAGCACCUUCCUUUUGGCUGAGGCUUGUGGCUUCACAGGCGUGGUUGCAGUGUUGUUCUGUGGAAUCACCCAGGCCCACUACACCUUCAACAAUCUGUCGCCCGAGUCCCAGGACAGGACCAAACAGCUGUUUGAGUUGCUGAACUUCCUGGCGGAGAACUUCAUUUUCUCCUACAUGGGUCUGGCCCUGUUCACCUUCCAGAGCCACGUCUUCAACCCCAUGUUCAUCGUCGGGGCUUUUGUGGCAGUGUUCCUGGGGAGGGCGGCCAACAUCUACCCCCUGUCCUUCCUCCUCAAUCUGGGCCGACGCAACAAGAUCAGAUCCAACUUCCAGCACAUGAUGAUGUUUGCAGGACUGCGAGGCGCCAUGACCUUUGCCCUGUCCAUCCGAGACACGGCGACGUACGCGAGGCAGAUGAUGUUCUCCACCACGCUGCUGGUGGUCUUCUUCACCGUCUGGUUCUGUGGCGGCGGCACCACCCAGAUGUUGUCGUGCCAGCGCAUACGAGUGGGAGUGGACUCGGACCAAGACAACUCUGUGAGCAUCGGCGAAGGUUCCGAGCGAAGAACCACCAAACAGGAAAGUGCCUGGCUUUUCCGCCUCUGGUACAACUUUGAUCACAACUACCUGAAACCCAUCCUGACCCACAGUGGCCCCCCCCUCACCGCCACGCUGCCCGCCUGCUGCGCCCCCCUAGCACGCUUCCUCACCAGCCAGCAGGCAUUCCAGAACGAGUGUCAGAUCAAGGACGACGACUCCGACCUCAUCCUGACGGACGGCGAGGUCAACCUGAACUACGGCGACAUCACCGUCAGCACCGACGCCACGGGGGUGCGCACCCAGGACGACCCCGACCAGGAGCUGGCGUGCGGCGACCAGGAGCUGGUGAUGAGGGGCACGCGCCUGGUGCUGCCCAUGGACGACUCGGAGCCGCCCUUCACAGACCCCCGCUUGUGAAGCCCCGCCCCCUUCCUUCUUUUUGCCUCUUCACUUCCGUCCGUCAGCUUGUCUACCUCAUCACGCCGCCAUCUUUUCUUCCCUGUGACAUGUUUGUGUUGGCGUCACCUGACGGCGUGUGUCGUCAUGGUAACGGCCACAGCGCCAACAUGCCCCAUGUCCACGUGCGACGGAGGCAGGAGGGCCACUAAGACAGACCUUCAAAGUCGGAUCUAUCGCAUGCCUGCGUUUCACCAAUCAAACAGAGCCAGGCGGUCACAUGAUUAACUGCACGUAAAGUUUCAGCGGCAAACAACAACAACAACAACAAUGGCAGAGACAACAACGAACGCUUCGCGUCAACCAGAAGAGGAAGAACACCGCUGGCCUCACAUCAAAUCCAUGUUCACGCUUCAGACAAGCAAAAAAAAAACAGUUAUGUAAUGCGUUGUCAUAUGUGUCUCCCCAAACAAGUGGACAUUUCAGCUUGCAUGAACUCAACGUCAAAUUUGAGGAAGCACACGGCGGUAAGUAACGUUAGUAGAUAUUUUGGCUGUGACCGUAGGCUGAUGUUAGCUUCCCUGCUGUGAAUCACUGUCAAAUGUACAUCGUGUGGGUAUAAUUUAUUAACGCACUGCAGCCUCAUAGACACACACACACACACACACACACACACACACACACACACACCCACACACACACAUGCAUAGAAACACCAAUCAGAAGUGCACCUACAACUGUCUUCUUUGCAGCCUUCAUUGUUCA